CGCCAUCCAUUGUUCUCACCAUGUGCUUCUGAUACAGGAAAUGGUGGCCACCCAGUAACUCCACAGUAUGUCCCCAGAUGCUUCUUAAAGGGCCAGCAGCAGCACAACACAAAUCCAUUAUGCCCAAAUCAUGUCUUUAAAGGGCAAUACAUCCCAGGGGCCAUAGUCACAGGGCAAGAGGCGGGCAAGCAGUCCUCUCCAG
rnacentral:lncRNA from 1 species